rnacentral:rRNA from 1 species
UACGAAGGGGGCUAGCGUUGCUCGGAAUUACUGGGCGUAAAGCGUGCGUAGGCGGUUUGUUAAGUCUGUCGUGAAAGCCCUGGGCUCAACCUGGGAAUGGCGAUGGAUACUGGCAAGCUAGAGUACGGUAGAGGAUGGUGGAAUUCCCGGUGUAGCGGUGAAAUGCGUAGAGAUCGGGAGGAACACCCGUGGCGAAGGCGGCCAUCUGGACCAGUACUGACGAUGAGGCACGAAAGCGUGGGGAGCAAACAGG